CGUCACCAGCACAAGAUGGCAGCUUUCCGGUGGAGGAGCCAAAAUGGUAACGGUUUGCUGAACGAACUUCUCUGCAGGACAAACUUUUGGAUUUCCGAUGUUUACCAACCGGAAUAUUUGAAUUUUAAGGCGACAGAACGAACUGUAACGUGUCAGAACGCGUUUGGAACCGGUACUGGCGGAGUUAUCGGCCGAAAUGAGGAAAUAUUCUGAGACUUAAACCGGAAUAAACUGGAAUAAACCGGAUUUUACUUCACUUCGACCCCCCUGAACUCCCGCUGAUCGGAAACUCUACACGAUAAGAUGGUUUCCUCUUCUCAGCUUUUAGCUCUGCUGCAGCACUGAGGAAAGCUGAAGCUUUACUGUCUAUAAACACUGCACAAAAUGGUCUUUGCUGUAAAAUGUUUCUUUAAAGCAGCAGCAGGAGGCUGAACCCACUCUGCUCUGAUAAAGACGUUAAAGAAGGAAAUAAGUUCAUUCUGCAGCCGCCGACAUGGACCUCAGAGCUCUGAUGCUGUUUCUGGGUUUCUGCAGCUCAGUGAGUCCUGCUGAGGUCCGGCUGGUUGGAGGUUCAAGUCCCUGUUCUGGCAGACUGGAGCAGCAGCGUCAGUCGGACUGGGAACCAGUGAGGGACCAGAACUGGGACUGGAACCUGACAGCAGCAGAUCAGGUCUGCAGGAGGAUCAGCUGUGGUUCUGUGGUUUCACUCAGGAGAACUCUGGACCAGGAACCUCCAACAGACGUGGUCACCAAAUAUGACUUCA
ensembl:lncRNA